rfam:Clostridium tepidiprofundi DSM 19306 CLTE_contig000011, whole genome shotgun sequence.
UCUGGUAGUUAUAGCGUAAAGGCAACACCCGUUCCCAUUCCGAACACGAAGGUUAAGCUUUGUAGCGCUGAUGGUACUGCAUGGGAGACUGUGUGGGAGAGUAGGUCGCUGCCAGGU